rnacentral:sRNA from 1 species
GUUGGGUGUGAUGGUACAUGCCUGUAAUCCCAGCUACUUGGGAGACUGAGAUAGGAAGAUCACAAGUUGGGAGGCCAGCCUGAACAACUUAUUAAGAUCCUGUCCCAA